rnacentral:rRNA from 1 species
UACGUAGGGGGCAAGCGUUGUCCGGAAUCAUUGGGCGUAAAGCGCGUGUAGGCGGCCCGGUAAGUCCGCUGUGAAAGUCGGGGGCUCAACCCUCGAAUGCCGGUGGAUACUGUCGGGCUAGAGUGCGGGAGAGGCGGAGUGGAAUUCCUGGUGUAGCGGUGAAAUGCGCAGAUAUCAGGAGGAACACCAAUUGCGAAGGCAGCUCGCUGGAACGUAACUGACGCUGAGACGCGAAAGCGUGGGGAGCAAACAGG